UGGGGAAUCUUAGACAAUGGGCGCAAGCCUGAUCUAGCCAUGCCGCGUGAGUGAUGAAGGCCUUAGGGUCGUAAAGCUCUUUCGCUGGGGAAGAUAAUGACUGUACCCAGUAAAGAAACCCCGGCUAACUCCGUGCCAGCAGCCGCGGUAAUACGGAGGGGGUUAGCGUUGUUCGGAAUUACUGGGCGUAAGCGCGCGUAGGCGGAUCAGAAAGUUAGGGGUGAAAUCCCAGGGCUCAACCCUGGAACUGCCUCUAAAACUCCUGGUCUUGAGGUCGAGAGAGGUGAGUGGAAUUCCGAGUGUAGAGGUGAAAUUCGUAGAUAUUCGGAGGAACACCAGUGGCGAAGGCGACUCACUGGCUCGAUACUGACGCUGAGGUGCGAAAGCGUGGGGAGCAAACAGG
rnacentral:rRNA from 2 species